rnacentral:rRNA from 1 species
CCUACGGGAGGCAGCAGUGGGGAAUAUUGGGCAAUGGGCGCAAGCCUGACCCAGCAACGCCGCGUGAAGGAAGAAGGCUUUCGGGUUGUAAACUUCUUUUAAGAGGGAAGCGCAGAAGACGGUACCUCUUGAAUAAGCGACGGCUAACUACGUGACAGCAGCCGCGGUAAUUCGUAGGUGGCAAGCGUUGUCCGGAUUUACUGGGUGUAAAGGGCGUGUAGUCGGGCUGACAAGUCAGAUGUGAAAUCCCGUGGCUCAACCACGGAACUGCCUUUGAAACUGUCGGUCUUGAGUAUCGGAGAGGCAGGCGGAAUUCCUGGUGUAGCGGUGAAAUGCGUAGAUAUUAGGAGGAACACCAGUGGCGAAGGCGGCCUGCUGGACGACAACUGACGGUGAGGCGCGAAAGCGUGGGGAGCAAACAGGAUUAGAUACCCGAGUAGUC